UACGGAGGGUGCGAGCGUUGUCCGGAAUCACUGGGCGUAAAGCGCACGUAGGCGGCUACUCAAGUCAGAGGUGAAAGCCCGGGGCUCAACCCCGGAACUGCCUUUGAAACUAGGUAGCUAGAAUCCUGGAGAGGUCAGUGGAAUUCCGAGUGUAGAGGUGAAAUUCGUAGAUAUUCGGAAGAACACCAGUGGCGAAGGCGACUGACUGGACAGGUAUUGACGCUGAGGUGCGAAAGCGUGGGGAGCAAACAGG
rnacentral:rRNA from 1 species